rnacentral:lncRNA from 1 species
CGUGCCUGGAGCCAACUGUACCGCUUGCGGAGAACGAAGAGCUGCAGAACUGCGUCCCCUCGGAGCAGAUACUGUCCUCUGCGCGGGAGGAUGACUUACCCACAGGGGCUGGUACGGACAAGGAAAUAAAGGACCGGGUAGGAGGGAGAGACUGGCCCACAGCCCUUCUUAGGACGGCAAAGCCCUGUGAGCGGACGCUCUGCGCCACCAGCGGCUCUAGAAUAGUCGCGGGCCGGCCUGACUGCGAAAGGCCAGGGUCCGCGGCCCGGGCGCCAGGCGGUUUCUGCACACACUGCGGCCCCGCCUUUCCUGGUGGCAGUCAGGUCCCUCCCCGGCCCUGCUGCCGGCCCACGUGGACUGGCUGGCCCGGGCUUCCUCAAGGAUCUCCCGUGGGUGUGUUGGGGAGGAGGGCGCCGAGGAGGAAGGAAUUCAAAGUAGAGUAAUCGACACCCCGCGACUUGCCGUCGGGGAUCUUGGUCUUCAAGCGAAUCCGCCUCUGCAGGUGCUUGGCAGCUCCGAGGUUCUCCCUGCAGGGGCAGCCUGGGAUUCCAGAGGGUUCCAGAGGAUCCCAAGGACCUGCGUGCCCGCGUCUCCCGCCGGGUGCGCGCACUGAGCUUUGCCCAGCGUUCUUGGGCUGCCUUCUCCCCUUCUGCACGGCUGUGGGUCCCAGCAAGACCCAGCAGUAAAAGAGAAAGGGCGGCGGGAGGAUGAGCCCUGCCCAGCUCGGCAGGAGGCUGCGGGCGCACCACGAGGAAGCCCAGUGCCGGGGCGCUUCUUCCAGCCCGGGACCCCCGUUCCCGCUCUCCGCAGGCGGAGAUGGCCCAAGGCUCGGCCCCAAACCCUCGCAAUUCUACGAGCUGAUUAUCUCAUUUUACGGAUAAAGAAACCGAGACCGAGAGAGGUGAAGUAAUCGCUGCCAGGUCACGCACCCGCCAACUGGCAGUGCCAGACUGGAAGUGAGGUCUGACUCCCAAGUCAGUGCUUGGGCCAGUUCCGGGGCGGCGGUGCCACCUUUGGCAGCUGGGGCCCCCAUCCCUGUGCUACUGCCUCUAGGACCGGAGUCCUCCCUGCCCCCGCCGCCCUCGCCGCGCCCGCCGGGUCCUCGGCGCAGGGUGCUCGGCCUGCGCUCCGGGC